CAGGGCAGCUGACGUCAUCGGCAGGCCCUGGAGACACUGCUGCAGUUACCGGGUCUCUAGGGCCGCGUCCCCUGACAGGAAGGCAGCGUUGGAGGGUGGCUGGGUUUACCCUUCGGGCCAAUAUCUUCAGUUACUGAAGAUAAAUACAACUUGGCAAUGAUUGUUUAUAGCGCCCUGAAAAAGAAUGGCUGCCAAUUUCCCUGUAUAUUACAAAGACAAAAGUAGCAUUGCCUCUUUUCUCACCUAACUUAAAACAUCUUCAAGGAAGUGCAUUACAGGAAGGCAAUGAACAAAGACUCAACAGUUCAUAGUAAAGGUCAGGUGCCACUCGUGGCUCGUGUCUGUAAUCUCAGCACUUUCAGAAGUGGAAGUGGGAGGAUCUGUUGGGGCCAGGAGAUCAAAACCAGCCCUGGCCACAUAGUGAGACCCUGUCUCUACAAAAAUAAAAUUUAAAAAUUA